GGUCAGCCAUGGGAGCACAAGUGAAAGCAAUUUACCUGUAUGAUCGGAAGGGAUGGAGCCUGGCUUUACCCCUCCUAGACCCAUUUAUAGCUGACUGCCACUAUGGAAGGAUUUCUUUUUGGCGAUCUCUCCUUUUUGGAGUUUUCUACUGCCAAGGAUAUAGCAAUGCAGCUGUUGGCAUCUGAAAACUCCUACUGUGUUCUUGUUGAGGACAUAUCCAGACUAUGAUAUUCCAUGGAGUUAGACAUACUACACCUCUAACCAAGAAGGAAAAGUUACUGAUGAUGUGCUCAGAAGAAACUUGAAGAUGCACGGUAACUUGACAAAACAACAAGAAUUCCUCUGACACUGUGCUUGAGCAAAUCAUGGUGCAUGGGGAUUGGUGUUAAAGAUUUACAUCUGUAUCUGGGAGAAGAACAGGACUAAGAGGUCUCAUGUCUACUAAAAUAAUUACUUGAGAAAUGAAGCAUGUUCUAGGAAAGAAACAACGUUGAUAAUACAUUGAUAUUUAUAGCUGUGGCUAAAUAGUGUCGUACAGAGCCAAGGUCAUUUGCAAUGGGCCCAAGGAGCUGGGAUGGAACAGAAUAAGGACAACUGACUUAACUCACCACAGGAAUAUUUUGUACCAUAUGACAUCAUGCAAAAGGAGUUUUGAAGGGAUUCACCUUGUUCGCUUCUGUUGAUCAGGGGUCUAGCUGGGCAUCAGGAGACUGGUGAGAAACUUCUUUGCAGCUGAAACUAGGAUAGUUAGCCACAUAAUCAUCCACAAACUAAUAGUUAACGCCAGAACAGAGUAAGAAAAAAACCAACAUAAAAAUAGAUUGUAGUAGUAGUCUCUUUCUAAUACUUUUUUUUUUUCAAUGCUUUUAUAACUUACAUGAAAAUUGGAUCUGAUGCAUCUUUUAGGCCUGAAAGCUUUCUUUUUAGCUUAUUUGAUUUGUUGAUCAAACUUCUAAAGAUAAGCAAAGUUGUAAACUAUUCAGAAAAUGGAUACACAUGUGUACAAACAAGACAAUCAUUGCUACAAAAAACUGUUGACAGAAUCUUGCUUACUGUUUUAGAAUAACCAAUUACAAUUAUAUCCAACCAUAUUUCAUAGCAUAACUAUUGGAAAUCACAGUGGUUUGAGACAUUGGAUUCAGGUCAGAAAAAGUAAAAUUCUGUAAAUCUCUUUCAAGGACUUCAAACUAAGAAGGCACGAAAAAAAUUCACAUUUGUUUUGUGUAACUGGCAAAUUUUCCUUCUUCAAAUUAAUAUAUUAAUAUUUUCCUGAAUUAAAACGUGUUUUUUGUAUAUUUAAAUAGUACAGUAUAUGGUCAAUAUACUAUUUACAUAUCCACUAUUUAUACUUAUCCACGAGGCAGAAAAUACAACCAAGAGCUCUUAUUUAUGAGGUAGUUGUACCUGCUUUUCAAAUUCAGAUGUUAGUAGUUCCUAUCACCUUGCAUAUACGUGGUUUUUUUUUUUUUUUUCUCAUAAAAAGACGAUAUUGUAGUAUCCACUCCUCUAAAAUAAUAUUUACUUUUAAAUAGUGCAGCUCUCUAUCAUGUUUAUGGUUCUGGUAAAGUAUGAACAUUAAGAAAAAGAGAAAAAUUCACACUUUUUUACUGUUUAUACUAUUAUAUUGGAAUGAAUUUCUGUGGCAAAAUAUACAAUGAAUCAGCAGUGGAAACCAGAUCAUUUUACGGAAAAAUAUAUGUACUACCUAAUAAAUACAAUAAACAAAUUCUUACAGACAAUCAUCAAAUUUACAGUAAUACUUGAGACCAUCAUCAUCUAGCCAAAGUAGCAAAGACUGUUGACAGAUGGCAUUCUCAAUACAGAAAUCCUUAAUAUAGAGAAUAAACUUGUCUGAGUUCAUGACUUUUAAUAGCAUAGAAAGUGAAGUAGGGCAUUUUCUACAGUACUGCUGAUCACAAUAAAAGCCUUUUCCCUUAACUUAAUGAUUGUAUGUGUAUAAUUAUGUUUGAAAUAUUACAUUGGCUUCUUAAGAACUUUCAACUCAGUGCUAAUGUUUGUUCUAAGCUCUUGUGCUGUUAUAGACAUUGACCUUAUUUAGAGACCAAAAAUUAAUUCUAUCUAGAAUCUUGUACUACUAAAAAUGAAUUUAUUUCUAAAAUUGAAUGUAUGUUUGGUACCACAUAAAGAAACAGGAAGAUAUAUCUAACAGUUCCAUUUAUAGACAUUGGUUUUAUUCUUUGAAUUAUAUAACUGUUGAAUUUGUCAUUUUAUUUGAAUGCUCUGCUAUAAACUGUGAAGCUAAUUAUUGUUCAUCAUUGGCCUGAAGAUAUGUUUGUGGUUAAAGUGUCUGUUUGACCUAUGAUUCUGGAGUUUCAACAUCAAAGAAAGAAAUUCUACUUCUGCUGAAGUUCUUUUGUCAGAGACUUAAUGAGAACUCUUGACUGAAUUUUUGUAGUUCCAGUUAUGUCAAUGAAGUCUUCUCUAACUAUAGGACUAACAAAAAGAUGUUAUCAAGAGCAUUAUUCAAAUGUCUCCUAACACUAACAGCAUGGGACCUCAACCACCUGCCAAGGAAGUGUUUUACAGUAUUUGACCACCCUCACUGUAAAGAAAUUCUUCCUAAUGUCCAAUCUGGUCUCCUCCAAAUGCAGUUUUGUGCUGUUCUUGCACACCCUGCAGUAUAGUACUGGAGAGAAGAGUCUAGCAUCUUGUUCUGUGCUUCUCUGCCUCAGGAAAUUGUGGAGAUCACAGGUUAUCUCCAAGUCACUUUUCCAGACUAGAAACCUGAGUGUCUUCAGCCUCUUCUCACAGGACAUGCCUUCCAGAUUUGCUGCCCUACUUUGGAUGCUUUCAAGGUCCUUAACAUCCUUUUUGUAUUGUGAAGCUCAUAACGGUACACAAUAUCUCAAGGUGAGGCUGUACCAAUGCAAAAUAUGGUGGGAGAACCCUUUUUUGACUGAGUAUGUAUGCUGUGCUUAAUGCACCCCACAACAUGAUUUGCCCUUUCAGCUGCCAGAGCAUACUGCUGCCUCAUCUUGAGCUUGCAUCUCUCAAUUGCUUUCUGCUGAGCUGCUCUCUAGCCACUAAUGACCCAGUCUAUAACUGUAGCUGACACUGCUCCAUCUCGGGUACAGAACCCAGCAUUUUCCUUUCUUGAAAUUCAUAUCAUUCCUGUUAGUCCAAAUGCUCCAAUAUAUCUUGAUCCUUUUGUAAGACCUCUGCUCUCCCCCAGGGACUCAACAGCACCUCUCGGUUUAGGAAAGGUAUUUAACAUUCCUGUAUCCAGACAAUUGAUAAAAGUAUUGAACAGGAUUGGCCCUAGGACAGAGCCCUGGGAAACGCAACUAAUUCUGCAGUUUCUCUUGAACUAUUACAGUAGCAUGGAAAUUGUCCUGGGUAUUUGGUAUGGU